rnacentral:rRNA from 1 species
GUAGGUGAACCUGCGGAAGGAUCAUUGUCGAAUCCUGCAAAAGC